GGUCUUGUGGCCCAAUGGAUAAGGCGUCGGCCUUCGAAGCCGAAGAUUGAGGGUUCGAGUCCCCCCAAGAUCG
rnacentral:tRNA from 2 species